rnacentral:rRNA from 1 species
AUUGAACGCUGGCGGCAGGCCUAACACAUGCAAGUCGAACGAGUGGCGGACGGGUGAGUCAUGUCCGGGAAACUGCCUGAUGGAGGGGGAUAACUACUGGAAACGGUAGCUAAUACCGCAUACCAUCGGAUGAGCCCAGAUGGGAUUAGCUAGUAGGUGGGGUAAAGGUUCACUUAGUCGACGAUCCCUAGCUGGUCUGAGAGGAUGACCAGCCAAACUGGAACUGAGACACGGUCCGGAGUCCUACGGGAGGCAGCAGUGGGGAAUAUUUCACAAAGGGCACAAGCCUGAUGCUGAAAUGCCGCGUGUAUGAAGAAGGCCUUCGGGUUUGAAAGUACUUUCAGCGGGGAGGCGUUACCCGCAGAGGAGGCAACGGCUAACGCCGUGCCAGCAGCCGCGGUAAUUC